rnacentral:rRNA from 1 species
AGCAGUAGCCACGGGAAUACGAAGGGUGCAAGCGUUAAUCGGAAUUACUGGGCGUAAAGCGUGCGUAGGCGGUGAGUUAAGUCUGCUGUGAAAUCCCCGGGCUCAACCUGGGAAUGGCAGUGGAUACUGGCUCGCUAGAGUGUGUCAGAGGAUGGUGGAAUUCCCGGUGUAGCGGUGAAAUGCGUAGAGAUCGGGAGGAACAUCAGUGGCGAAGGCGGCCAUCUGGGACAACACUGACGCUGAGGCACGAAAGCGUGGGGAGCAAACAGGAUUAGAUACCCCGGUAGUCCCUGUCUCUUAUAA